CCUACGGGAGGCAGCAGUGGGGAAUAUUGGACAAUGGGCGAAAGCCUGAUCCAGCCAUGCCGCGUGUGUGAAGAAGGCCUUCGGGUUGUAAAGCACUUUCAGUGGGGAAGAAAGCCUUGGGGCUAAUACCCUCGAGGAAGGACAUCACCCACAGAAGAAGCACCGGCUAACUCCGUGCCAGCAGCCGCGGUAAUACGGAGGGUGCGAGCGUUAAUCGGAAUUACUGGGCGUAAAGCGCGCGUAGGCGGUCUGAUAAGCCGGUUGUGAAAGCCCCGGGCUCAACCUGGGAACGGCAUCCGGACGUGUGAGGUGAGAUGGCAGGAGGGGAGGGAGGAAGCCGGGGUGGGGGGGGGAAAUGGGUGGAGACCGGGAGGAAAACAGGGGGGGAGGGGGGCCUUUGGGAUUGCCCUGGCCGUGGGGGGCCAAAAGGUUGGUACGAAAACAGGGUUAGAUACCCGGGUAGUC
rnacentral:rRNA from 1 species